GUACAAGGAACACAUAUUCACAUUUAAAGACAUAACAUGGAGACAUACAUGAAGACAUACAUUGUUGGCCUCCGAGUCAUUGAAAACACCAAGGACA